AGGAACUUUAUCUAUUUAGCAAUUGUAAUAUAACUGUGACCUAUCAAUAGGUUAAAAUAUUGAAUCAGUCUGACUCUUGGGAAUAGCAAAGGAAUGAUUAUUCACCGUUCAAGUCUGCAAAUAUUACAAGAGACUACAAAAUUGAUGAAGAAUAAACAGAAGAGAGAUCUUCGGUGCACUUAUUCCUGAAACCAGAUGUCAAAGAAUAUGAAUUUGAUCAGGUUCACCAAAAAAGGUGGUAUAACUCGCGUACUUUUCUGAAACAGAAAGCCAACAGAAUAUUUGAUGCAAGAGAGAAAAUAAAGGGCACCCUCAUAAAACCAGAUGCAUAU
rnacentral:lncRNA from 1 species